rnacentral:tRNA from 1 species
GUCGCUUAGCUCAGUUGGUAGAGCGCCACCCUUUUAAGGAGGGGGCCGUUGGUUCGAAUCCAACACGGGACACCA